AGUGGGCGUGCACUGUAGCUGUUCCCACUCAACGUUCUUGAAGCCAAAAUACGCCCCUUAGGGGCGCUUCCAUCUUGCGAUUUUGACGUCAUUUGGAGCCAGAGUCUGCGCAGUAGGGUCCAGGGGGAGGAGCCCUGGUAACACGCCCCGCCCAUUUAGCGUACUGCCCUGAUGACUUACGCAGCCCAGCUACGCUGAAAGCGCUCCGCCGGUCUACGAUGAAGAAAUGUGCAAAGAAGAGAUAAAAGCAGCUGGUCUGACAUCUUCCACAGAGGUGAAGUAACCUAAAAAUGACUCAUUUCAACCUUCGUCUGCACACCUGUUACAGAGGUCAGGCUGGGGUCACAUAGUCUGAAGGAACCUCCUCCUUCUUUCACCUGUGUCAGACACCCUGCUCAGCCACUGUGGUAGAAAUGACCUUACACCAGCAGCUCUCCCAGAUGAAGAGUCCUCUCUGCCAUCACCCAGAGGAGCUGAUCAACGUCUACACAACUGAAGAAGGUGGACAGAGUCUGGAGCUUUGU